CUUGGACCUUGAGUUCGUGCUAAAGCGGAAUGUGGUCUUUCGGGGACGUUGGCUCUGGUACCACGACUCCUAUAGGAAACAACCAAGCUGGUAUUAGCUUCAAUGGUAGGGCAAUAAUACAGAUGCUGGAGCUAAAAGAAAAUUCACUGAAAGCUGUACGAACGUUUUGAGAAAAUAAAUCAACAUUGUAUGAGGGUGGGGGACAAAACUGUGAGGCAACAGUGAUAUAUUGGUAAGGUAGAUUUAGACUUGCUUUGUCUGCUGAAAAUUCAUCUCCAAAGAUAAAAAUAUAGGGAAGGCAAGGUUGAUACUUUACAACUUUGCAAAACAUUAAAGACAUACCAUCACUAUGUUUGAAGCCAAUGGUUGGUAAAAUUUGUUGAAGCUCUAGCUUUAGUUUUUUCAAACCAUAUGCCUAUAGAAUAAUCAAAAUAUAAUUAUCAAAACCUCUUCACUGCUCAGCUAGAGAGUUUGCACCUUUCUGACAAGAAUUUAUAAGUACCAGAACAAAAUUAAAGACUAAAUUGAAAAGAACCAAGGAAUGCUUUCAAUUACAAAUAUCUAUGUAUCUCUUUAAAAGCAAUAUUGAUGAUGAUAUUUUCUGUUUAAACCUUUGGAGCACACUUUGCUGGCUGAUAAGUAUGGAUGUUAUGAGCAAUAGCCAGGGUUUAAGGAGAUGUUGGCAUAAAAAAUCAUAAGCUUCUGUCACAAUAUUAAAACCUGUCAUCAAAUUAUAGCAAAAUACUAGAAUCACUGCUAAAGAUGCAUCUAGCAUCAUCAGAGAUGUAAUCAAUGCAGAUUUUAUUCUCUUUUUUACACAAUUAUCUAACUAACCCUAAUCCACUUGUCUGAAGACUGAAGCAUUUUCACAUCUGGGUCCCAGUUUCCAACAUUUGGUGAGUUCAAGCGUUGAUUGCCAAGUAGGGUAGGAGAACCUGCAAAAUCAAGGAAUUUUCAGCAGGUUCAUUGACAGUUUCUUGAAUCUUAUUUAAUUUUAUAUAGAUGCACAUACAAAAAGAUGCACUAUCUUAAAACAAAACAAAUGCUUAAAUAUAAAUUAAAAAGCAAAAUGUUGAUAUCAACGCCGGGGUACUUAUUCAACAUGUGUGUUCUAUUCUAUAGAGGCGAAUUUUUUAGGCUACCUUUAAUAGUGUAGCUGCAUUUUAAAUAAUGAUACACAUGUUUAACAAUGAAGUUGCUGUUGAUUAUGCUUAGUGAAAGAAGCAUCAUUGUUGUAUCAAAAUUCCUGCUUUGUUAAGGGGGCACAUAUUAGGAACUGGAAGGGACAUUUAGCAAAAAAUCUACACAGACCAUGGGGCUCUUUUUGGCAGAGGUGCUAAUCACCAAGGUGCUUCUUUGGUCAUUUAUGGUUGGAUUUUUCAUCAUAGAAAGUUUGAUAAUCUUUACCAGUAAUUAUGAUAACUUGCAGUCAAUGUAAGAUAAUCUCUUUAUUUAAUUGUUAUCUUUAAACUUAAACGUCAGUUUUAGUUUGUGACAAAAAAUCUACUAAAGGUAGAUGUUUAGAAAAAAUUUUCAUCAAAUCUGCGUAUAGAUUGCGACACGCACGUAUUUAUGAGGAAACAGGGUAAGCUAUAAAACUUCUGGUGCAGCUUUAUAAUUUACUGAACAACAUUCGGCGUAGGUUUACAAUUUACAUGGAUUCUACCGUGAAUUGUGGAUUCCACAUCCGUCAUUCAUAUGAGUUUUAAAAAUCAAAAAUUAUUUUCCCUUAAAAUGCUAGGCUCUAAAGAUAACCUAUGAAAAUAGAAAGGUUUCAUAUAGAAAAAAGAAACAUGUUCUUACCUGCUGGGCUUUCUUUCAGAGAAGUACCUUCAGGGGUGUCACGACGCUCAUGCUGGCCAAUGGGCCUAGGCCUAGAAAAUGGGGCUUGGUUGCUCGAGCUUGGCAUAACUAACACAUAAAACCACCCACCUAAAUUAUAUUUACAAUAAAGAGCCGAAUUUAUUUCAAUCUAAAUCAAUGUACGUUAGUAAUCCAGAGAUGUGUCUUCUUGGUCCGAUUUUGUAUCUACACGAGACGCCAUUUUGUUGACAUUGGCUCUAAGGUGGACGAAUAUUUGACAACAGCUGGUUGCUAGGCAUCGACCUUCCCGCCAAAAUUUUUUUUCAAUUUUAUUAAAAUUAUGCAUCUCCUACAUACCUGUCAAGCUAUUGUGGUGUGCUGCCGUAAGAUUUUGCCUAUCGAACCAAAAUUUUGUGUAUAAAACGGUAAUUAAGUCGCAUGAAAACCGUCUUUUUGUUCAUUCAUUAUCUAUUUGUUUCACAACGAAUUCAGAAUAAAAACUCAUUGCAUAAAAGGAAAAAGAAAAGACUGAGUAGGAACACUACAUAGUUCAGUUUACAAAGAUUCUUUCAAAAACCCAUCAUCAAUCAAAGCUUCAAUUUAUUUACAAUAUUUUUUCAAUACGCCAUAAGACUUGAAAAUCACCGCAAUUACGUAAGACUUCACUUGCGAAGAAAACGUAAGACUUCACGGGUAGGCUUAUGUGAGACAGAGUCAGGAAAACAUCACGGCCACUGGCCGGAGGAAGGUUGUAAUAACAAAAAGAUAUUUAGAGACCAAAAAUUUAGAAACUUGAGGAAGUUGAAUAAAUCUUAUUGCCUUUUUGCUGUAAGACAAAGAAUUCAAAUGUCAGACUUAAACUUACAAACCCUCUUCUUUUUCUUCUUUUUCUUCUUCCUCUUCUUCUCCUUCUUCUUCUUCUUCUCCUUCUUCUUCUUCUUCUCCUGCUUCUUUUUCUUUAUAGCUGUAUCGAUUUAAAGGCGCUUGAAAGCGAUUUCUUCAGCAACUUUGCAAAUGUUUUCAGUCAACGUUUUCAAUAAUUUUCUGUUUUCAGCGAGGUCACGAAUUCUUCUUAGAUCAUUUUGUUUUUCAAACUGUUGGAGAAUGUUGGAUUUUCUUCCAAUGUCUUUUUUAUGUCGUUUUGCAAAGUUGGAGCAAUGGUUGUCCAAGAUAGACCACGAAGCAGCUUGUUAGUUGUGCUUUCAAAACAGAAGUCCAUGACUUUUUUUGUUGGGCAAUUUCGAUCUAAUCAGAGAACGUGUCCAAACGCCCGAGCCCCCCCCAAACCCCCAUAAUUUCCGCCACUGAUAUCAGUUAGGAUUUUCAUCAGAUCUUCUCUUACUAUCGUGUCAAAGGUGGACGACAUAUCAAUUCCGGUUAUGUAUAUCUCACACUCUUCUUUUUGGACUUUAGCAGCUACCCACCGAUAAGCCCAAACAAAAUCACUUUUGCUUCGGCUGGUUCGAUAAGCGCUCUGUGAUUCAGAAAGAUACGCUUCGUAGGUUGGUUAAAUAAGUAGGAUGUUCGAAAGUAUUUUUCGGACGAUUAGGAGGAGAUUUACUGGUCUCAAGUUCUUGACUGUUCCUUUCGGGUUGCCUGGUUUUUGAAGCGGCUAUAAAAUUCCACUGCCGAGGUCUAAAGAUAGACGUUCUUUGAUAAGAUGAUUGAGUAAUUCUUUGAUAAAAAUAUCAAGUUCUUCUGCUGCAUAUUUCACAAGUUCCGCUGUUAAUCUAUCAGGUCCUGCUGCUCCAUUAUUAUUCAGAUUGUUAACUGCAUGUCCAACUUCAUUGGUUGUUAUUGGGUUGUCAAGUUUCUUUGUCUCUCCUACAAAGACCGGUACUUUUUCUACACUCUCGUCAAAGAAAUGUUGCUUGAAGAGAGUCUUAACUGCUUUAUAUAUCUCUCGAGGAUUCGAAAUACAUUUUCCUUCUUUGUCGUAUAUAAAUGGAUUUUCAUAACUCGUGCGGUUCAGCAUUCUGACUGCUUUGAAAAUCUUGGAUUCUUCAUGCAAGUUCUCAACAUCUCUCACUAUAUCAUCAAUCUCUUUAUCUCUAUUUUCAAUUACCUUCUGUUUGCUGCUUUUCAAUAUUCUAUUCCUUUGGUGCUCCAAUUUCUCAUGUUUUUCUGCUUCUUUACACAAUGUUAUCUGUACCCUCAGUUGCUUCUGUUCCUCUGAUAUUCCCUUUAUUUCGUUGUCAUAAAUCCUUCCGUGGUUUCUAUUUAAUCUUUCCUUAGUACCCAGUGUUUCCACUGUUUGCAAAAUCACCUCCACUGCUUCAUUCCAUCUUUGCUGGUCAUUAUCAUGUUGUUUAGUUUCGAUCUUGUUGGUGUUGGUUUGUGAAGAUUUCUUGUAAUUCUCUCUCGCUUUCAAUAUCUGUAGUUUAUUCGUGUUUAUUGUCACAGGCAUCUUUGAUUUGCUUUUUUUGAAAAGAAAAAUACCUCUCACAUCUCACUGAGUUACAACUAAUCGGUGAUCGCUAUUGACUUUUGUUCCUGCAUAUUAUCUUGCGUUUUGAAGAGUGUUCUUUUGAGAUGAAUGGCACAAGAUGUAGUCGAUUUGGUUGAAAGUUUUGACCAUUUCAUUACUAUUUUUAUUCUUAAAUGUGUUUUCCCACGUUGUUAUGUGUCUAGAUGGAUGCUUAAAAGAGCUGUUUGUAAUGAAAAGAUUGUUUACGCUACAGAAAUCAAUCAUUGUUUGUGCAGAUGUAUUUCGUUUUCCUUUUGAAUAUGAACCAAUACACGAUUCAUCUUUUUCCUCCCUAUCUGUGCGUUAAAAUUUCCGGCAAUCAGUAGCAACGAUGUCCUUGUAUUGUUGUCUGUUUUGAUCUUGUUAAGCCUUGGCCAAACUGGGCAACAUUGUUGCCUGACAAUGUUGCUUGAAAUUUUGUUGAUUUUUUUGUCGUCGAAACAUGGUGGCCAAACUGGGCAACAUUGUCGUGCAGCAUCUUUUGCUGAUGUUGUCAAAACAGCGCGCGAAAUUUAAAUUGAUAAGUGGUUUCAAAAGUUUGGAUAAGUAUGGCUGAAAGAAAGCAAGCUGCAGCCACUGGAAGCUGAUUUUGACUCAGCACAACACCAUCGUGUUGCUUUUAGCACCCUUAGAGCACUCGUAGAAGCAGUAGCAUUUGGCUGAUUUGUUGUUUUCAAGAACUUGCACUUGGACUUGUUUCAGACGAGACCUUUAUAUUCUUCCUCUCCAUGGUUUACUUCCCAUUCUGCAAAAUCAACUUCGAAGCUUAAAUUUUGACAGGCCAUUUUUAUUGAAUCGAGUUGAGGAUAUUGUUUUGCAAUACAACACUGCGCAUGUUGAUUUUUUCUCAGAUUGUAAAUUGAGGUGAAUUGUUGCCCGACAAUGUGGCCAAACUGGAAAACAUAGGGCUGAGCAACAAAUGUUGCUGAAAAAUAUUUGAGCAUGUUCAAACAUUCGAGCAACAAAUUUCUUAAUGAAUUUAUCGGCUGACAUGGUGGCCAAACUGGACAACAUUUGAGCAACAUUAUGAAUUUGUGAAUGUUGCCCGACAAUGUUGCCCAGUUUGGCCAAGGCUUUAAUUGUGUUCGCUAGGUCUGUGAACAACUGAUCUAACUGAACUGGAUUUUUUUGAACUAUGUCUGUGUGUGGAGCAUAUAAAUUUAUGAUGGUGAUACAAUGUUAUUUGUGCUGAUUUUAAAGUUUUGUUGUCAACUGUCUUCAUUUGCAAAAGUUUUAAGUGUUGUAGUUCUCAACUUUUUGACAGUUGAAUAUAAAGGUGUUUUGAGUACCCCAUUUUGUUGACCAAGCCCAUUUUGAACCCAUUAAAAACUAUAAAGGUUUUGCAAUAUGAUAUUUUGGCCGCAGGAAGGUUGUCAACUUUUCUGGACUUUUCUGUGAGAAUAUUAUUUCAUUGAAAGUAGAGAAGAUAACCAGUGAACGUUGCUCGUCGUCAUAUCAUCUCAGCAAUAGUACAUUUAAUAUCUUUAGGGGGAUCGCAUCAAAAAUAAGAUUCAAGAAAAUAAAAAUUUUAAUCAAAGGUUUCCAAGAAAGUUUUUGGGGACUUUGGCUUACAACCUUAAGAUUUGAAAAUGGCUUUGAAAAAAGCAAACAUUUGAGUAAACUAAAGCUUUUCUUCUGACACUCUUCAGAGUUUAAAAUGUCAGAACAUAGAUCAAAAACUCUACGCUAGGAAACUGCAACACGAUCGGGUGAAAUCAGUAUUAACAAUGAAAUGUACUAUCAAAAGGCCUACCAUAUAAAAAUACAACACAAGGAAUAGGCCAGAUCACCAUGUGCAAAAACUAAUAUUAGUGUACACCAAAAGAGGUUUUUUGUACAUUGCACUGGUCCAAUUGCUUUGAAUGGAAUCCAUCAUAAGAUUUAAAAAAGAACUGAGCUUCCACCUUUUGAGCUAAAAGAAGUCAGCUUUUUUAAUUUCUGAGUUACCUUAACAAAAUUUUAGGGUAAUGUAGUUUUUUAUCAUAUAACAUAACUUUUAUUUUUACUGAAUUGAUAUUGUAAAUAAGAUUUAUGAAAUGAAAUGAGUGGAAUCUGGCUUAAUGUACAUUGCUGCCUUAUAUACAUGUAUGGGACUCCAAAACUUUGAAGCCAAAAUAAACCUAAAUUACACAUUUAAACAGGGUCUACUGAAAAACGCGUAAGGAAAAGUCUAUGGUACACAAGUAAACACGACCUUUAAUAUCAUUCCACUUUCAUAUUCAUUAGGUUACACAGCAAAUUCAUAUAAACGGACAAGAAAAGCAUUAAUAGUCAGGCCAUAUGCCUUGUGCAUCCUUAUUAGCUCUAGCGUUCUUUCCUUAAACACCCAAAAAGGAGGAAGAUCAACAUCAACUCCUCAAUUAUUUGCGACAAUUUGCUGAAAAAUGCCAUGUCUCAUUGAUAUUGUUUCCGAGGGGGUCGCUUCCAACGAUCGGAUUUCAUUCCAACAGAGAAACAAGUGCUUCCACUACGUCACCUUUAUGCUCCCUAAGUCUUUUUUCUGCAAUGACCUGGCUUAUUUCCAUUUGGUCUACAAUUAAGUCCACGUCUUCUUUUUUUAUUUUCACUUGAGCGAGUUCUUUCUCGCGUUGGGCCUUUUCCAAUCUCUCCUCAGAAUGACGGCCUUCUAUUAAAGAUACGGCAUUGGCAAUGUCUGAAGAAGAUAUUUCCUUAUCUUCUUCAUAGUCAGUGAUUUUCUCCAAGUCAGUAGAUGCUUCUGCUGCAUGGGUUUUUUGGUGUAUUUGCGAGGCAUCUUCGCCGUUUACCUCUUCCUCCUGGGUCGCCAUUU